GCUAAUACCGCAUACACUCUGAGGAGGAAAGUAGGGGAUCGAAAGACCUUAUGCUUUUGGAGCGGCCGAUGUCUGAUUAGCUAGUUGGUAAGGUAAUGGCUUACCAAGGCAACGAUCAGUAGUUGGUCUGAGAGGACGACCAGCCACACUGGGACUGAGACACGGCCCAGACUCCUACGGGAGGCAGCAGUGGGGAAUUUUGGACAAUGGGCGCAAGCCUGAUCCAGCAAUGCCGCGUGAGCGAAGAAGGCCUUCGGGUUGUAAAGCUCUUUCAGUUGAGAAGAAAAGAUUGUGACUAAUAAUUGCAAUUCAUGACGGUAUCAACAGAAGAAGCACCGGCUAACUCCGUGCCAGCAGCCGCGGUAAUACGUAGGGUGCGAGCGUUAAUCGGAAUUACUGGGCGUAAAGGGUGCGCAGGCGGUUCUGUAAGUCAGAUGUGAAAUCCCCGGGCUUAACCUGGGAACUGCGUUUGAAACUA
rnacentral:rRNA from 1 species